GAGUUAGGGUCCCUGUGGCCCGAACCUCCAACCCUUUGUCUACAUACCUGUUGCUUUGGCGGGGCGUGGGCUUUUUUGCCCACCGUCGACCCAGGCUGGCGAGCCUCCGCCAGAGACUCAACUUAAACUCAUUUUUAAAAUUUAAAGUCUGAGUGAAAACACAAUAGCAAAAAACUUUCAACAACGGAUCUCUUGGUUCU
rnacentral:misc_RNA from 1 species